CGGCGAAAGGGUGAGUAACACGUAACCAACGUACCCCUCAGAUCGGGAUAACCACUGGAAACGGUGGAUAAUACUGAAUGGUCCUAGGAAGGACAUCCUUCCGAAGGUAAACGGCGGCUUCGGCUGCUGUUGAGGGAGCGGGUUGCGUCCUAUCAGCUUGUUGGUGAGGUAACGGCUCACCAAGGCUAUGACGGGUAGCGGGUCUGAGAGGAUGAUCCGCCACACUGGGACUGAGACACUGCCCAGACUCCUACGGGAGGCUGCAGUCGAGAAUCUUCCACAAUGGGCGAAAGCCUGAUGGAGCGACGCUGCGUGUAGGAUGAAGGCCUAGGGUUGUAAACUACUGUCACGCUAUAGGAACCCGUGUAGGUUAAUAGCCUGCGCGCUGACCAAAGCGAGAGGAAGUGCCGGCUAACUCCGUGCCAGCAGCCGCGGUAAGACGGAGGGCGCAAGCGUUGUUCGGAAUCACUGGGCAUAAAGGGCGCGUAGGCGGCCAGUUCAGUCGGAUGUGAAAUCCCUCGGCCCAACCGGGGAACUGCAUUCGAUACUGACUGGCUAGAGGAUGGUAGGAGCCAAUGGAACUCCAGGUGGAACGGUGAAAUGUGUAGAUAUCUGGAGGAGCACCGGUGGCGAAAGCGAUUGGCUGGGCCACUUCUGACGCUGAGGCGCGAAAGCUAGGGGAGCGAACGGGAUUAGAUACCCCGGUAGUCCUAGCCGUAAACGAUGGGUACUGG
rnacentral:rRNA from 1 species